rnacentral:rRNA from 1 species
GACGAACGCUGGCGGCGUGCCUAAUACAUGCAAGUAGAACGCUGAAACUUGGUGCUUGCACCGAGCGGAUGAGUUGCGAACAGGGGAGUAACGCGUAGGUAACCUGCCUGGUAGCGGGGGAUAACUAUUGGAAACGAUAGCUAAUACCGCAUAAGAGUAGAUGUUGCAUGACAUUUGCUUAAAAGGUGCAAUUGCACCACUACCAGAUGGACCUGCGUUGUAUUAGCUAGUUGGUGGGGUAACGGCUCACCAAGGCGACGAUACAUAGCCGACCUGAGAGGGUGAUCGGCCACACUGGGACUGAGACACGGCCCAGACUCCUACGGGAGGCAGCAGUAGGGAAUCUUCGGCAAUGGACGGAAGUCUGACCGAGCAACGCCGCGUGAGUGAAGAAGGUUUUCGGAUCGUAAAGCUCUGUUGUAAGAGAAGAACGAGUGUGAGAGUGGAAAGUUCACACUGUGACGGUAGCUUACCAGAAAGGGACGGCUAACUACGUG